rnacentral:rRNA from 1 species
GACGAACGCUGGCGGCGUGCUUAACACAUGCAAGUCGAACGGACAGGCCCUGCUUUUGUGGGGUGCUCGAGUGGCGAACGGGUGAGUAACACGUGAGUAACCUGCCCUUGACUUUGGGAUAACUUCAGGAAACUGGGGCUAAUACCGGAUAGGAGCUCCUGCUGCAUGGUGGGGGUUGGUAAGUUUCGGCGGUUGGGGAUGGACUCGCGGCUUAUCAGCUUGUUGGGGGGGUAGUGGCUUACCAAGGCUUUGACGGGUAGCCGGCCUGAGAGGGUGACCGGCCACAUUGGGACUGAGAUACGGCCCAGACUCCUACGGGAGGCAGCAGUGGGGAAUAUUGCACAAUGGGCGGAAGCCUGAUGCAGCAACGCCGCGUGCGGGAUAACGGGCUACGGGUUGUAAACCGCUUUCGCCUGUGACGAAGCGUGAGUGACGGUAAUGGGUAAAGAAGCACCGGCUAACUACGUG